rnacentral:snRNA from 1 species
UCGCACAAGAGUGUCUGCGUGCGCAAA